rnacentral:rRNA from 1 species
AGUGAACGCUGGCGGUAGGCCUAACACAUGCAAGUCGAACGGCAGCACAGUAAGAGCUUGCUCUUACGGGUGGCGAGUGGCGGACGGGUGAGGAAUACAUCGGAAUCUACUUUUUCGUGGGUGAUAACGUAGGGAAACUUACGCUAAUACCGCAUACGUCCUACGGGAGAAAUCAGGGGAUCUUCGGACCUUGCGCGAUUGAAUGAGCCGAUGUCGGAUUAGCUAGUUGGCGGGGUAAAGGCCCACCAAGGCGACGCUCCGUAGCUGGUCUGAGAGGAUGAUCAGCCACACUGGAACUGAGACACGGUCCAGACUCCUACGGGAGGCAGCAGUAGGGAAUAUUGGACAAUGGGCGAAAGCCUGAUGCAGCCAUGCCGCGUGAGUGAAGAAGGCCUUCGGGUUGUAAAGCUCUUUUGUUGGGAAAGAAAAGAAGCAGGUUAAUACCCCGCUGUUUUGACGGUACCCAAAGAAUAAGCACCGGCUAACUUCGUG